UCUGAAGUUUCAAUUAUCUGUUAUUUAGGAGAUAAAUCACUUUUGUUUCUGGUUAUGCACCCCUAGCCACAUUUUCCCUGGUAGUGACACACAACCUGUAUGAAAAAAAUGAUUUCAAUUAGACAUGUGCAAUUAAUUUCGGUCUGAAUUUCGGCAAUUCAGACAUUCUGAUGCUUCCAAAUGUCUGAAGUGCCGAACCGAAUUUCCAAAGUGCUUCGAAUUUCUGAAAAGUGGCAAAACAGGAGAGGGAGGUAAAAUUAAGGGAAAGCCCUAAACUAGAUGGAAGGUUGGGGUUAUGGGAUAGUUAAGGUUAAAGGUCCCAAGUUUCGGAAGUGCCGAACUGAAU